GAAUUUUAACACUGGCUGAAUAGAGUUCUAAUCUAACGUCAUUCCAUUGCUUGUUUCAUUUGGCGUGUGAUUUAUGAUAAAUGUGUGUGUGUGUGUCUGCUGCAGGUCUAUCAACACACUGUCCACAGCGGGUAAUCCAAGCAAAGGGCUCGACCCAGCCUGUCCUGUGAACACUCCGUUCUCACAUCACUAGUGUCUCACGUCUGAUCUGUAUACUGCUGACCACAGCUUUAGCCCCAUGAGCACAGAUUCACUGGUGGCUGUCACUUCUGAGGCAUUAUUCCGAUUUCUCCACUCACUCUCAGAUUUUAAGUCCCCUGACCUAAAAGCUCAGAGUCACUUUGGAUGUUUCCAGAAUUCCUACCUGCUGUCAUGGAGACUGUUUUUUGUUUGUUUGUUUUUAAUGGGACCAAACGAGGGCAGAGGACCCUUUAAAUGAAUGUGUACAUGCUUAUGCACAACACUGCUAAAUUCUGAUUUUAGUUGUAGCAUUUUUAAAUAUACGCCUUUUAUACUGGCACUGUCAAAAACGACAAGUUAUUAUGAUUUUACUAAUUUCUUACAGGCCCUAAAUAAUUUAUUUAAACCCUCGGUUCAGUUAGGCUACUUCAAGUUUAAUAUAUUAUCCUAAAAUUCAAAUGUAGUAAUGUGUAAUUUAGGAUUUAGAAGAAUAUUUUUGUUAUUUUGAGCCACAGUGUGGCUAAAAAAUAUUGUCAUGAAAGCUGAAAAUUGUGGGAUUUUUAUUGUCAACUAUUGGGCAUAACUUCUACAUGGCUACAUUUUAUUUUGUAUUUUAUGCCCUGAUUAGUUCAGGUGUUUAUUUAUUUCUGUAAUGGCAACAUUUUACAGGACACACACAGUAGAGAAAUGCUGCUUUCUCAGUUCUUGUUGACGUGUUUAGUUUCAUGUCCUCUACAGGAUUUAUGAUGGAUUUUUACUGACACUUGUAGGUACUUCACACCUAACGACCCUUAACCAUGUCAGAUGUUUCAGAAUGGAUUUAUAAUAGCAACAUUAUGUAGAAAUGACACUAGAUAGCGGAAGAGGACAUUAUUAUUUUAUAGCAACAACAGAGCCUCUACAGCAGCUUCCAUCUGCUGUGGUAGGAGCUGAAUAAAUGUACUAAAUUAAUAUGAAUAAUGUUUUACCUUUUUUGUACUCACAGUUAGAUUAUUCUGUACAUUAUACCAAGUGCUUUAUUCCACAAGCCAUCACUCAGCAGUUCUCAUUUUGUCAGUUUUAACUUUUGUCACUCAGAGAAAGUUACUUUUGCAGUUUGUCUUUGCUGCCCAGACAUUUCUUCCACCCUGUUUUGGUUGAUAUCAACCUUUUUUCAUUGCCAAAAGAAUUAUACCGUACUCCUCUUGUGUUUACUUACUACUGUAGUUAAGGCGUGUGGAUGGCUUUGCUAAAACUUCUAAAAUCCUGUAUGUAUACAGUAAACACACGUGUGCACACACAACACAGAAGGCACUGUUUGCUCUCAGAUUUCUUUGAUUUCUGUCUUAUUUCCUUCUCUUGAUUCAUAGUCUCAUACUGUAGCACCUGUGCAGUAAUAUAUUUGAAUGUUAUCAGUUUGAUGUUUUGAUCUGGCUUUAAUAAUGACUAAAUAAGUGGAUUUAUAACAUGUUUGUUACUUAUUUUAUCUUCAUUUUUUGAGUGUUUUGUGAAACUUACAUGGCUUGAUGGAACAGUACACUCCCUAUAUUGAUACCAAAAUGCUUUUUCAUGCAUAAACUUGCAGGUAUGAAGUUUAGACUGUCAUGUCAUGUUUGUAAACCGUAACAAGGAGCAGUUGUGCAAAUGUCUGUGUAGAUUUGAAACAGUUUGUAAGUUUAAAAAAAAAAAAAACUCAUAGAGGUUCAUUGUUAUUACGGGAGCAGAGUUGUUGUAAGGUCAGUAUUACCUUUAGAUUAACUCUGGUAAGACACUACAUCAUUGUGCUAUUUCACUUUUGUAAAUAAAGUGUUACCCUCA
ensembl:lncRNA